rnacentral:misc_RNA from 1 species
AAAAAUGUCAUAUCCAGAAACUCAGGCUUAUUCACAUUACUACCAUAGCUUAAUUUAAGGGAGCCUGAUCACAUGGAUGAACAAACUUCACUUUUACAGCUUCCAAAUUUCUGAAAGCAUGCUUGAGUAAGCAAUGGGCUCCAGAAAGGAAGAACUGAACUGUAAGAAAACUAAAAUCAGGACCAGCUAUAUUAGCUUGUUGCAAUCACGAGCAAGCUCAAAUUACAGGGAACAACUUAUUGUUUGUUCCACUCCUUCAGACAUAGGGCUUGGAACAUCAAAAUUAGAUCUCGACAGGGAACCAUUUCCAAAUCUUUGAGGAAUUCCACAGAAAUUUUCCAAUCAACCAAAUCUCACCACCAUCCAUAAACAACCCGGGAGUACUUAUCCUUAAGCCACCUGAAACUCCUCCUAAAAGAAAGUUUAACUUUUCCCUCAACAGUGUACAUUUUGUAGCUAGCAACCCUCUUCUUCCUUUGAAACUCAGGGUCACUCAAGCUCCAAGACUUUGAAGAAAAAGAAGACCCAGAAGUGCUCUUGCCUUUCUUGAGCUUAAAGCCCUUGGUGGUGUAGCCGUUGUUAGCCAUCUGGGAUUGUGCAUAGGAGGCACUGUAGGACCUGAGGUCAUAGGAAGUGGUGGGCGG